CCUCGUUAAAUUCCCUUGAGUUGAUCAUGGCUCGAAUAACGCUGGCGGCGUGCCUAACACAUGCAAGUCGAACGCGAAAGGGGCUUCGGCCCUGAGUAGAGUGGCGAACGGGUGAGUAACACGUGGGUGAUCUACCUUCGAGUGGGGGAUAACGUUCCGAAAGGAGCGCUAAUACCGCAUGACGUUCCGGGGUUGAAGACCUGGAAACCAAAGCCGGGGACCGCAAGGCCUGGCGCUAGAAGAGGAGCCCGCGCCUGAUUAGCUAGUUGGUGAGGUAACGGCUCACCAAGGCGACGAUCAGUAGCCGGCCUGAGAGGGCGGACGGCCACACUGGGACUGAGACACGGCCCAGACUCCUACGGGAGGCAGCAGUGGGGAAUUGUUCGCAAUGGGCGCAAGCCUGACGACGCAACGCCGCGUGGAGGAUGAAGGUCUUCGGAUUGUAAACUCCUGUUGACCGGGACGAACGGGCCCCACUCGAAUACGGUGGGGCAGUGACGGUACCGGUUGAGGAAGCCACGGCUAACUCUGUGCCAGCAGCCGCGGUAAUACAGAGGUGGCAAGCGUUGUUCGGGAUUACUGGGCGUAAAGGGCGCGUAGGCGGCCUUCUUAGUCAGACGUGAAAUCCCCCGGCUUAACCUGGGAACUGCGUCUGAUACUGGAGGCUGGAUUCGGGAGAGGGAGUGGAAUUCAGUGUACGGUGAAUGCGUAAUUCUGAGGACACGGUGGGAAGCGGCUCUGGACGAACGACCUGAGCCGAAGCAGGGACAACGGAUAAUA
rnacentral:rRNA from 1 species